GCCGGGUUAGCUCAGUGGUAGAGCAACGGUUUCGUAAACCGUAGGCCGUGGGUUCGAUCCCCAUUCCCGGCU
rnacentral:tRNA from 1 species